rnacentral:rRNA from 1 species
AGGUAGCAAUAUCUCAAGUAAACCGGCGAACGGGUGAGUAACGCGUAGGCAACUUACCUUGUGGGCGGGGAUAACCCCGGGAAACCGGAGCUAAUACCCGAUGUUGUUCUGAUGAAGCAUUUCAUCGGAAUGAAAUGUUCUAAAAGGAUACCACAGGAUGGGCCUGCGUCCCAUUAGAUAGUUGGCGGGAUAACAGCCCACCAAGUCAGCGAUGGGUAACUGGUCUGAGAGGACGGCCAGUCACACUGGAACUGAGACACGGUCCAGACUUCUACGGAAGGCAGCAGUGAGGAAUAUUGCUCAAUGGGCGAAAGCCUGAAGCAGCGACGCCGCGUGAGGGAUGAAGUCCGUUAGGAUGUAAACCUCUUUUGCAGGGGAAGAAUGUUCCGCCUUUGGUGGAAUUGACGGUACUCUGUGAAUAAGCACCGGCCAACUACGUGCCAGCAGCCGCGGUAAUACGUAGGGUGCGAGCGUUGUCCGGAAUCACUGGGUGUAAAGGGUCCGCAGGCGGGUGAGCAAGUCGGUGGUGAAAUCCCUCCGCUCAACGGAGGAACUGCUUCCGAAACUGUUUGCCUUGAGUUCGAGAGAGGAUGAUGGAAUUCAUGGUGUAGCGGUGAAAUGCGUAGAUAUCAUGAAGAACACCGGUAGCGAAGGCGGUCAUCUGGCUCGAUACUGACGCUCAGGGACGAAAGCGUGGGGAGCAAACAGGAUUAGAUACCCUGGUAGUCCACGCCUUAAACGAUGGAUGUUCGGUGUCGGUCCC